UAAAAUUCAUCUUUAAAUUCUCUUUCACUCUCAGUCAAGUUAACCAUUAUUACUCUUCAUAACAAUGUCGACGAUGGCGCUCAUACUCCGGCGAAAAAUUCUCUCAAAACCCUACAUUUCUCAUCAAUCAUCGCUGUACUCCACGACGCCGGAGAUAAAGAGUUUGAAUAGUCAACGAAUUGAGAAAAUACUCAUAGCUAAUAGAGGCGAGAUUGCUUGUAGAAUUAUUACAACUGCUAAGAGAUUAGGGAUUCGUACUGUUGCAGUUUACAGUGAUGCUGAUAGAGAUAGUUUACAUGUGAAGUCUGCUGAUGAGGCUUUUCGUAUCGGUCCUCCUCCUGCUCGUUUGAGCUAUUUGAAUUCUUCUGCUAUUAUUGACGUUGCUAAUAAAUCUGGCGCCCAGGCUAUCCACCCAGGUUAUGGAUUCUUAUCUGAAAGUGCUGAUUUUGCUCAACUUUGUGAAAAUGAGAAUCUCUUAUUUAUUGGACCUCCUGCAUCUGCAAUCCGUGACAUGGGCGAUAAAAGUGCUUCAAAGAGAAUAAUGGGUGCAGCUGGGGUUCCACUUGUGCCUGGAUAUCAUGGUGAUGAGCAAGAUAUUGACUUUAUGAAGUUGGAAGCAGACAAGAUUGGGUAUCCUAUUUUAAUUAAGCCAACCCAUGGAGGUGGAGGGAAGGGUAUGAGGAUUGUUCAGAGUCCAAAUGAAUUUGCUGACUCAUUCUUGGGGGCCCAACGUGAGGCAGCUGCAUCAUUUGGUAUAAGUACAAUCCUACUGGAGAAAUAUAUUACUAAACCAAGACAUAUAGAAGUCCAGAUAUUUGGGGAUAAACAAGGUAAUAUAAUACAUCUCUAUGAGAGAGAUUGUAGUGUGCAGAGAAGACACCAGAAGAUAAUAGAAGAAGCUCCAGCUCCUAACGUGAGCUCUGACUUCCGUUCCCAUCUGGGUCAAGCAGCUGUAUCUGCAGCUAAGGCAGUCAAUUACCACAGUGCAGGAACUGUUGAGUUUAUAGUUGAUACGCAAUCUGGACAAUUUCAUUUUAUGGAGAUGAAUACCCGUCUUCAGGUUGAGCAUCCAGUUACAGAGAUGAUUGUUGGUCAAGAUCUUGUAGAGUGGCAAAUACGUGUUGCAAAUGGGGAGCCUCUUCCCUUGACUCAGUCAGAGGUGCCAUUUUCAGGUCAUGCUUUUGAAGCCCGAAUUUAUGCUGAAAAUGUUCCAAAAGGAUUUCUUCCAGCAACUGGUGUUCUUCAUCAUUAUUGUCCUGUUACAGCUACAUCAGCAGUUAGAGUUGAGACUGGAGUGGAGGAAGGGGACACAGUAAGUAUGCAUUAUGAUCCCAUGAUUGCAAAGCUAGUAGUAUGGGGACAGGACCGCCUUUCAGCACUGAUAAAAAUGAAGGAUUGCUUGUCAAAGUUUCAGGUUGCAGGUUUACCCACCAAUAUAGACUUUAUCAUUAAGCUUGCCAGUCAUACGGCUUUUCAAAAUGGUGAAGUAGAAACUCAUUUUAUUGAGCGGUACAAGGAUGAUCUGUUCAUAGACGGUUCCAAUUCAAUAUCAGCAGAAAAAGCUGAGAGUGCUGCCAAACAUGCUGCAUCCAUUGUAGCUGCAUGCAUUUGCCAAAAUGAACUUGCAACAUUGAAGGAUAAGGCUCCUGGAGGCCUUCAUUUGUGGUAUGGUAAUCCUCCAUUCAGAAUCAAUCAUUUUGCUAAGCGAACAGUGGAUCUUGAAUGGGAGAAUCAAUACAGUAUUAGUGGUUCAAAUCUUUUAACAGUCUCCAUCACCUAUUUGCCAGAUGGGAAAUACCUAGUUGAGGAGAAAGCAAUUCCCCUGGUUUGGAGAUCCAGGUGACACAACUAAGCAACAAUAACUAUAGAGUUGAAGUGGAUGGUCUAAGCCUGAAUGUCUGCUUGGCAGCUUACUCCAAGGAUCAAAUUGAGCAUAUUCACAUCUGGCAUGGCGACUCUCAACAUCAGUUUAAACAAAGGAUGGGCCUAGAAAUCUAUGAUGAUGAAGAAACAAUAGACAAGCCUGCUAGGGUGGCGACAUCUUAUCCUUCUGGUACUGUGAUUGCACCCAUGGCUGGGCUAGUGGUUAAAGUAUUGGUGAAGGAUGGGGAGAAAGUUCAGGAGGGACAACCUGUGUUAGUAUUAGAAGCAAUGAAGAUGGAGCAUGUAGUGAAAGCACCAGCUAAUGGCUAUGUAAGCGGGCUUGAAAUCAAAGUGGGCCAAUCGGUCCAAGAUGGUAUAAAACUCUUUGCUCUCAAGGACUGAAAUAUAUCCUGAGGCUAUGACAACAUCAUUCUACACAACUGUAUGUAUGACCUUCCUAUGAGGACUGUACAUCCACUAGGCAUAAGAAUAACAACAUUGAGAUGUAAAAUCUCUUGGAGUUUCAUCUUCUAUAUUUCAAAUACAUUUACUUGUAAAUGACUUUCCAGCUCAAAAUUUGUCCAGAUUAGUGGUAUAUGAUCAAUGGUUGCUCAUUGAUUUCUAAGAUAUACAAGCAAAGUUCUUUCUGCUUACUUCUGAAAGUUACUUGUUUAGGUAUUGCAAGAAAAAAACGUGCUUUGCCUUGUCCUA